GACGAACGCUGGCGGCGUGCUUAACACAUGCAAGUCGAACGGAAAGGCCCUGCUUUUGUGGGGUGCUCGAGUGGCGAACGGGUGAGUAACACGUGAGUAACCUGCCCUUGACUUUGGGAUAACUUCAGGAAACUGGGGCUAAUACCGGAUAGGAGCUCCUGCUGCAUGGUGGGGGUUGGAAAGUUUCGGCGGUUGGGGAUGGACUCGCGGCUUAUCAGCUUGUUGGUGGGGUAGUGGCUUACCAAGGCUUUGACGGGUAGCCGGCCUGAGAGGGUGGCCGGCGACAAUGGGACUGAGAUACGGCCCAGACUCCUACGGGAGGCAGCAGUGGGGAGUAUUGCACAAUGGGCGGAAGCCUGAUGCAGCAACGCCGCGGGCGGGAUGACGGCCUUCGGGUUGUAAACCGCUUUCGCCUGUGACGAAGCGUGAGUGACGGUAAUGGGUAAAGAAGCACCGGCUAACUACGUG
rnacentral:rRNA from 1 species